rnacentral:lncRNA from 1 species
UGUGCUGUGAUGAUAAGGCACAAAACUCAAAAAAGAGCUGAAUAAGUCGGCAGGUGGAGAUGGAGGAAGGUGAUACAGUCUGGCAGCUCCCCAUGAGCCUCGACUCCUCCGGCUGUGGCAGCAGUGCCUGGCGGUGGCUGCAGUUUUUGGGAGCCUGCUUUUUGGGUUUUUAAUUAGCCUGCAUUUCUGAACAGGGCCAAAUGGUCAGUGAAAGCAAGUGGUAGGAGCUGGUGGAGCUGCUGUGGAUACAAACCUGGCGUUGCUGGGCAGAACACCAUGACUUUGACUGGGGCAAGCUGCUGGGGAAAGGCCAAAGCAGAGUUUAAAGCAGCACCUGGGUGAUGCACUCCUGCCUGCUCCUAAGAGGGCGAACAUGGGAACAUAUCUCAGGUCUUCAGGGAGAGACAUCUUACUAGUCCAAUUCAAGGCCAGACUGGAACAUCUCCUCUGUGACGCUUUCCUUGCUCGUCUGCUGAAAUCGCCCAUCUCUCCCUGCCCGACUCCCACAGGGCUGCAGUCUUGUCUGAGGAUGCGCAUUUAGAAAAGGUUCCUCAGGCAAAUCUGGAACAACCCAGAAAGGAUGAGCUGGGCGCAGUUUAUGUUUAAAGCCGGCAGUCAUCUUUCCAGGGAUAGCGUAUCAUUUCUCUCUGUGGGCACAGCUGCCAGGCAGAGCAAUAAAUCUUUCAGCUGUAAGUACUCGGCGUGGAUC